GAAUCCUUCUAACCGAUGGAGAGGUUACCUUUUUCUCUAAAUUUUAUUAGUCGAGAGAUUACUUUGGCUUCAGAACUCCUACCCUCGUUUCUCAUUUCUCUCCUAAAUCCGCUAGAUACUCCUUGCUCAUCCGCAUCAGCUGAGAAAAUUCGAUUCAACCAUUUUCCGAUCUCGAAACUCUCCUUCUCUCAGAUCUUAGCUCUCCUCUACCUCUCUAAUGGCGAUGAGAGGUGUCGAUUUCAAGUGGUACGAUGGGUUCUUCUUGUCGAUGCUUGCCACCAGUGUAAUCAUUGUUGCUAUCAAUUGGAAGAGGUAUAGUUCGUGCGAUUACCCUUUGCAUAUUUGGAUUGUGGUCGAUUACACCACCGUCUUUAUCUUCCGCGUCUUUAUGUUUGUUGACAAUGGUCUUGCUGCUGGACUUGGCUUGGAUUUUGGAAGUCAACAACGGAACAUUGGGUUUUGGGGGAGAGUGGUGGUGCUAUCUGUCCUAUCUCUGCUGCUGUAUCCAUUUCUGUGGGCUUGGACUGUUAUCGGUACUAUAUGGUUUACAAGGGCAAAAAGCUGUUUACCUGAAGAUGGCCAAAAAUGGGGUUUCCUCAUAUGGCUCAUGUUCAGCUACUGUGGCCUCCUCUGCAUUGCUUGCAUCUGUGUCGGAAAGUGGCUGGCGCGAAGACAGGUGCACUCACUGCGUGCGCAGCAGGGAAUUCCGAGUUCAGAGUUUGGUAUUGUGGUUGACAUGAUCAGGGUACCGGACUGGGCAUUUGAAGCGGCAGGCCAAGAGAUGAGAAGCAUGAGUCAAGAUGCUGCUACUUACCAUCCUGGACUUUACUUGACUCCGGCUCAGACAGAAGCUGUUGAGGCACUCAUUCAAGAACUUCCAAAGUUCAGGCUAAAAGCUGUCCCAGAUGAUUGCGGCGAAUGCUUAAUCUGCUUAGAGGAGUUCCAAAUUGGGCAUGAGGUUAGAGGAUUACCAUGCGCCCAUAAUUUCCAUGUGGAGUGCAUAGACCAGUGGCUGCGUUUGAACGUCAAAUGUCCUCGGUGCCGGAGCUCGGUCUUUCCAGACCUUGAUCUCAGCGCAUUAUCCAACCUCCAGAGCUCAGAAGCACAACACCCCUCACAAGGGAACACAGAAGCUCGGUACAUAAGAAGCCAACCACAAAGCGAGAGCUAUUUCUUGAGACUUCAACCCGUAAUUCACCCUGUCCACACAGACAUAGCUCUGGAGACUGCAGAGAAUGUUGGAGUUCCUCCUUUUUUGGCCGGUGGAUCUCAGUCUAGGAGAUGAGAAAAAUAAGUGCGAGUCUGAAAAUUCUACUCAUUACUAACUCUUUGAUUGAUCGAAGGGUAGAAAAAAAACACAUUUGGAAUCUACCCCGAUCCCCUUCAAAAAAAAAAAAUCUUGGGGGGCUUUACAUGAAGAAUUGUUUGUUCAGACUCUUAACGGUAGAGAAUGUUCGUAUAUCUUUACUUAGUUAUGGUUUCAGGUUGACAACAAUUUUCUAUUUUGUUUACCCAAAUCAUGUGAAUUGGUUUCAAAAACAUACAUUAUAUAUAUCGAAGUUAAUAUGCAUCAU